rnacentral:rRNA from 1 species
AACGAACGCUGGCGGCGUGCCUAACACAUGCAAGUCGAGCGCGAAAACCACUUCGGUGGUGAGUAAAGCGGCGCACGGGUGAGUAACACGUGGAUAAUCUGCCCUUAAGUCUGGAAUAACUCAGGGAAACUUGCGCUAAUACCGGAUACGACCCCGCCAUACGUUGGCGAGGUGAAAGUGGGGGACCUUCGGCCCUCACGCUUUUGGAUGAGUCUGCGACCCAGCAGCUAGUUGGUGGGGUAAUGGCCUACCAAGGCAAAGGCGGGUAGCUGGUCUGAGAGGAUUAUCAGCCACACUGGAACUGAGACACGGUCCAGACUCCUACGGGAGGCAGCAGUGGGGGAUAUUGCGCAAUGGGCGAAAGCCUGACGCAGCAACGCCGUGUGAGUGAUGAAGGCUUUCGGGUCGUAAAGCUCUGUCGGCAGGAACGAUGGUUUCGGCGGUUAAUACUGACUGGAAUUGACGGUACCUGCAAAGGAAGCACCGGCUAACUCUGUGCCAGCCGCCGCCGUAA